GGUUACACUUUUCUAACGAUCGUUUCGUAAUUAAUUACUUCAUUUUGUUUUUCGUAAUUAAUUACUUCAUUUUGUUAAGAUAGAGAAUCUCCGAAGUCGAUUACUUUAGUUCAUCGUGCUUAGAUUUUUAGCUAAAUUGGGAGUUUAGUUGAUUUGGGAAUUAUUGGGUUUUUCAUCUUCGGAAGAACCAAAUAGUCGUGGGCCUUCAUUCUCUCAGAGGCCCAUUUUGUUACCCUUUAUUCCCGGUAACUAGACCCAUCCCUCCAUAAUUUCCAAUUUUAUGCACCUGUCCAGCCCAAUCCAUUAAUUUCACCCAGAUUUCCCUGACCCAACCCAAUCUUUUGUCACCUUCAAAGAGAGAACCCAGAAACUCGGCAUUAACGCGUGAACGAUGCCUAACUCGCUCACGCUUCACGCUAUUCCCAGCAGCGCCCGUCCAGUAGACGCGUGAAGGGGCAGUAGCAAGCAUGAUAGCAAUACGAUUUUGGCGUCUUCCUCAAGCUCCUCUGCAUCUCGUACGACAACAGCAGCCUUGAAGGCACGCGAAUCAUCCUUUGGGCUCUGGGUGGAGCCACGUCGUUUGCCAAGGACGAUCAAUCGAUCCCAGCCGUAUGAUUCCCCCUUUUCCUCUUUCGAAAUAAGGUUGAAAGCUUAGAGAAAAGGGUGUUUCCCCUUUAAUGGUGAAGAAAAGAGAUAGAGAGUUGAAAAAGGAGUUAGAAAGGAAAGACGAGGGAAGUUUCAUUAAAUAUUUAGAUAUUAGCCAAUUCAUAUUACAAAGAAAAGAAAUAUUCUAAGUCCUAUAAUAGAUCGGAAAACCGACAACUGCAGUCGCAAUCCGGUGGUAAAGUCAGUCUCCGUUGCUCGGGUCGUUCCAGAAUCGCUGCACUUAGAAAGGUAAAAAUUCCUUCCGGCUGCAUCUUUUACUUCUCAAAGCAUAAGUCUUCAUUGUUUAAAGGUUGUAAGAUGUGUAAUUGUUGAAAGUCGGAAAUAAUCUUGAUGGAUUUUCACUCUGGAUUCAAUGGCGUUUCCUUGUUUGGGAGGUAUAUAUAUAUUUUCUUUUCGUAUGGUUGGAAGUCUGGUUGACUCUAUAAAGUUUCGAGCUGUUGUGUUACUUCUGUGGUGUUGUUGUUUGCCUGACGUCUGGUUCCACUGUUUCUUGUGUUUUUUUUUGUUUCAAGUUAUUUCGCUAUCCUUCAUGUCGUGCUUACUCGCUUGACUGUAAUUGAGUACUCAGGUUUGUGUUCUCAAGGUCUAGCACCAAGAAGUGUCUUUUCUUUAAUAUUCUCAUGUCGCUUCAUUGCUUUUCUUCAAAAAAAAUAUUUUUUAAAAUGAAGGCAGAACCCCCUAAAUAACAAAGCUUGGGGUUGUGUACUGUUGUAGAUAUCAUUUGAUGUGCUUGAUCUAUUUGUUCGAAUUCAACAUCUGUUUGUUCAAGCUUUUUUUUUUCUCGAAAAACGCGCAUGCAAGAGUGCGAAACCUCGAUUCGGUCAUUUGGAUGGUCGAGUAGUAGCAUAAUUUUGUGGUUAAAUCAAAACCGAGUCGUCUUUAAAUCUGCUCCUGGUUCACACGUUUGAUUUUAUUUUGCUUUAGAGUCCUCGCAUGUUUGUGUGGAGAAUUUAAUAAAAAUCUAGUCGUUCUGUUUAUUUCUCUCUUUGUUUUAUUUAAUCUAAUUUCAAUUUUUUUCUAUCAUUAAAAUAAGGUUUUAUUGUAUACUUCAUUUAGUCAAUCAUGAACAAUAUUUAUUUACUUGUUUUUCCUUAUGUUUGGUUAUCAUAUGCCUCCUCUUGAGUAUCGAAAUAUUUUCGGGUUUUCUCAAUUCUUGUGAUGAGAGCAUGAUAGGGUUUAUUACUAUUUGUUAGACGUGAUCAUUGUUUGCCUCUUCCCAUUUCUCUUGGGUCAAUUAACUCUUGCCUCCUCCGUAAACAAAGCUCUUAGUCGUUCACUAGGCUAGUUGUGAUUAAUAUGUGAUAUUAUGCAAGCCUAAUAUCUUAAUCCUGGCGUAAGGUAUAUAUAUUUGGUCUUUUCCUUGGAAUGUCUACGAAUUAUCUACGAAUUAUCUACUUGUUUGAUCAUUUAUUUAUUUAUUUAUUUUAUCAUAUUUUGCUUUGGCGAUAUUAAAAUAACUUAAUUGGUUUAUCCCCAUUAGGUAUAGUUUACUGUGCCUAAUUAGAGUCUGAUUAUAUUUUAUUCCAAUUAGCGUUUUUCCACCGCUGAGAUGAUAGUAUGUCGUUAAUGGCAUAUGUUAUACUAUUUUACUCUUAUUAUUAUUAUCAUUUUUGUUUUGUUUCCAUUGCAUGUGAAAUUCAUCCGAGUUCGCUAUGAACUCACUCCUCUUUUAUCAUUUUCGGAGAGCCACAAGGGAUCGAAUUUCCUUGUGUCGAGUCAAACCAUGAAGUUGACGGACAGGAUCCGAAGUCUGAAGACCUGAAGAAAACCUAAGAACAUCGGAAGAAUAGAAGAAUUUGGGUCAAAAACCCGCAUUUAAUUUUAUGUUCUUCUGCUUUUUUUGUAUUUUAUGCAGGCCUAAGCCUUGUAAAGUUUCCUUUAUUAUGCUAGAAUUUAGGACAGGUACAAAUGAAGUGGGCCAAAGGCCCAAAAUGAAACGGGUCGAAACCCAAAAGAAAGUGGGCCUAAAACCCUCAAAAAGGUGGGUCCAAAUUCCGGUCAAGGCGUACAGAAAGCCGGACUUGGACCCAAAUCUCUUUUCCUCUCUCUCACAUUACAUGAUUUAGUUAUUUGUCUGUUUUAUUUGUCGUCAGUUCAAGGUUAGGAAACUCCGAAUCCAUGAAAAACGCCUCUAAAUGUUUUAUAGACUUAAAAUUAACAAUUUUGCAAAUAACUAGCUUAAGUAUUAAGUUAGUAUUUUAAAUCAUUACUAUUUUAAAUUUUUUUAGUUAAAAGAUUUUAGCCAAAUUGAGUUAGCUCCCGGAAAAUCGGAUGUUAGCGGACGUUUUAGGUGCUUUUAAACCUUCCUAAGACGUUAAUAGGAAUCUCCGAACCCCUUUGAAAGUGUUCAAAUGACUUUCCCUCUUUAAGUCUUUUGAAAACGAAGUUUUUUUGUUGAUUUUUCUCAUAAAAAAAUUAAGUGGCGACUCUAAAAAUUGAAAACACUUCGAAGAUAAUAUUUUCCCAAAUUUUCGAUAAAACAGAAAUGGCGACUCUGCUGGGUAUAAGGAGUAUUCUAACCUUAAAACUAACGUUAUUUGGAAGUAUCAAACAAAUAGUUGGAAUGCGGUCAUCCGACGUUGUUUGGUAGCUUCACCUCGAUAUUUGCCUACUCGGGUAACUGUCAACUUGAAAACUAUUCUAGUAAAACUAAGAUAGAGCGAAACCAAAAUCAAACGCAUUAGCGUAAGACGGCUUAAUACCCAAGUUGUAUUAAGUCUUUUUAGUAGAAAACCACCAAAAUCGUGUCUAAGGUCUUUGACCUCAUGACACAUCAUAUUAUUUGACAUUUGGAUGAUGUACGUGUGAAACCAAUUUGGGGGUGGGGAAAACCGAAUUAGUUUCUGUUUUGCAGAUAUGGACCGUUUCCCAAAGUUCGACAUGGUUGUCGCAGCGCCACCUCAACUCACGAUGUGGAAUGAUAAUUUGAAUGGGGAUGAUAGAAGAACCCUCAACAAAUAUGUGGGUGCAUUAACAGAACUGAUCAACAUGAACGGUUGGCCGGAACUGGUUGAGGUACUUACAUGAUAUUGAGAUAGCCAGAUGAUGGUGUUUCGAUUCGGAACCGCCGAAAUUACCCCAACUUUGGAGGAAAUAAGAAACUGUAUAGACACGGUAUGUAUUGGAUAGAAAGAAGAGCGAGAAAACAAGAAGACAUCUUUAUCCCUAAUAAACCUUCCGUAGAAGAUAUUGCAGACUGGUUCGGGUUGGGAAAGGACUUUGCCUACUGGUGUCAAGAAUCCCACGUAGCAUUCAGGGACCUUUAUAUCCGAUUUGGACAUGCAAGCUUCUACACCACUUACAACCGAGAGUUCAAGAUCUCCUACAGAGAAUGGAACGAGAUUCGUCCUCUAGCAUUUGCUGUGGCGUUAUUGGGAACAAUGGUUUUCCUCAUGGUCCAAGUUUGAGUAUCAAUACCGAGUUAUAACACUCGCGUAAACCUUGUUCAAAGGGUAUGAGAACCAAGGGACAACAAAAUACUACCCUAUAACUUCGGUCAUCCUGUUCGACAUGUAUCGAGCCUUGGGAAAGUGUAAAGAGGGACAUCGAUACUUCUAAGGAUGCAACUUGCUCCUCCAGUGGUGGAUCCUCAGCCGUUUAGCAAAGGGUGCUGGGACUCGGGAGCUGCAUACUCUCGACAACAAGAAUACCCUUAAGGAUUUAAAUGACCUGUUAUAUUGGGCAAAUAUGAACAAUCGGAGAAUAAAGGGGAGAUGGGCUCAAAUAUUCUCCAAAUAGAGAGAAGAAGACCUCCAAUGGAUGCUCGACCGUUUUAUCUCUAAAGAAGUCAUCGUAAAGAGCCGCAGAUAGGUUGUGCUUCCUCUACCGGGUAUUCGUGGAAUUCGCCCUUAUGCACCAUUUCAAGUCUUAUGACAGUUCAGGAGGAGACAAACUUUACCCAAAGAAGUGUACUAUGGCGCUUAUGUAUAUGAUAUUGGGGAUGAUAGAGUGCACGACGCGACUGAAAUGUUUAGAGAAUGGAAAAGCGCCAAGCGUAUGGAUAAAGACACCAUCGCCCUGACCGAUUCAAUGCUGGGUAUGACAAGGGUUACAAAGAAUGGCUGAAGAAGGACAUACAAAACGUCUCCUUUCAAACCCCGCGUAGCUUUCGCAGCAUAACAGAAAGAGAAGCCAAAGCAGUGGUCGAGCUACAAGAGGUAAAGGAAGAGGCCAAAGAGGUGUACGCUAAGUUUGUCAAGCACCAAGAUACUCUUGAGAGGGUGACUCAAGAGGCGGAAAGACUGAGGCGUGGUUAUGAUGAUUUCAAUACCUGGAUCAAGGAGAGAAUCGAGAGGAUGGAUACGAAAGUUUGGAAGACAAAGGACGGCUGGGUGAAGGGUUCUUGCUGAUGUUAAGAUAUAUGUUUCAGCAAUACAAGACUCAGGGGGACGGCGACGGUGCAGGAUCAUCUGGAGCGGCAUAGUGGACUUCGCCCCUGCGUGGGUUUAUGUAUUUACAUUGUCUUAGCCCCUGCGUGGGCCUGCCUUUAUUGCACUUCCAAAUGGCCCCUGCGUGGGUUUGUCUUUAAUAUUUAUUUCCCCUUUGUGAACAUUAUAUUUCACUAGUAAAAUUUAUUUUGGGGGA